AUUGAACGCUGGCGGCAUGCCUUACACAUGCAAGUCGAACGGCAGCACGGAGCUUGCUCUGGUGGCGAGUGGCGAACGGGUGAGUAAUAUAUCGGAACGUACCCUAGAGUGGGGGAUAACGUAGCGAAAGUUACGCUAAUACCGCAUACGAUCUAAGGAUGAAAGUGGGGGAUCGCAAGACCUCAUGCUCGUGGAGCGGCCGAUAUCUGAUUAGCUAGUUGGUAGGGUAAAAGCCUACCAAGGCAUCGAUCAGUAGCUGGUCUGAGAGGACGACCAGCCACACUGGAACUGAGACACGGUCCAGACUCCUACGGGAGGCAGCAGUGGGGAAUUUUGGACAAUGGGCGAAAGCCUGAUCCAGCAAUGCCGCGUGAGUGAAGAAGGCCUUCGGGUUGUAAAGCUCUUUUGUCAGGGAAGAAACGGUGAAAGCUAAUAUCUUUUGCUAAUGACGGUACCUGAAGAAUAAGCACCGGCUAACUACGUGCCAGCAGCCGCGGUAAUACGUAGGGUGCAAGCGUUAAUCGGAAUUACUGGGCGUAAAGCGUGCGCAGGCGGUUUUGUAAGUCUGAUGUGAAAUCCCCGGGCUCAACCUGGGAAUUGCAUUGGAGACUGCAAGGCUAGAAUCUGGCAGAGGGGGGUAGAAUUCCACGUGUAGCAGUGAAAUGCGUAGAUAUGUGGAGGAACACCGAUGGCGAAGGCAGCCCCCUGGGUCAAGAUUGACGCUCAUGCACGAAAGCGUGGGGAGCAAACAGGAUUAGAUACCCUGGUAGUCCACGCCCUAAACGAUGUCUACUAGUUGUCGGGUCUUAAUUGACUUGGUAACGCAGCUAACGCGUGAAGUAGACCGCCUGGGGAGUACGGUCGCAAGAUUAAAACUCAAAGGAAUUGACGGGGACCCGCACAAGCGGUGGAUGAUGUGGAUUAAUUCGAUGCAGCGCGAAAAACCUUACCUACCCUUGACAUGGCUGGAAUCCUUGAGAGAUCAGGGAGUGCUCGAAAGAGAACCAGUACACAGGUGCUGCAUGGCUGUCGUCAGCUCGUGUCGUGAGAUGUUGGGUUAAGUCCCGCAACGAGCGCAACCCUUGUCAUUAGUUGCUACGAAAGGGCACUCUAAUGAGACUGCCGGUGACAAACCGGAGGAAGGUGGGGAUGACGUCAAGUCCUCAUGGCCCUUAUGGGUAGGGCUUCACACGUCAUACAAUGGUACAUACAGAGCGCCGCCAACCCGCGAGGGGGAGCUAAUCGCAGAAAGUGUAUCGUAGUCCGGAUUGUAGUCUGCAACUCGACUGCAUGAAGUUGGAAUCGCUAGUAAUCGCGGAUCAGCAUGUCGCGGUGAAUACGUUCCCGGGUCU
rnacentral:rRNA from 1 species